AUUGAACGCUGGCGGCAUGCCUUACACAUGCAAGUCGAACGGCAGCACGGGAGCAAUCCUGGUGGCGAGUGGCGAACGGGUGAGUAAAGUAUCGGAACGUGCCCAGUCGUGGGGGAUAACGUAGCGAAAGUUACGCUAAUACCGCAUACGAUCUAUGGAUGAAAGCGGGGGAUCGCAAGACCUCGCGCGAUUGGAGCGGCCGAGAUCAGAUUAGGUAGUUGGUGGGGUAAAGGCCAACCAAGCCGACGAUCUGUAGCUGGUAUGAGAGGACGACCAGCGACACUGGGACUGAGACACGGCCCAGACUCCUACGGGAGGCAGCAGUGGGGAAUUUUGGACAAUGGGCGCAAGCCUGAUCCAGCCAUGCCGCGUGCAGGAUGAGGGCCUUCGGAUUGUAAACUGCUUUUGUACGGAACGAAAAGGUUUGACUUAAUACGUUGGACUCAUGACGGUACCGUAAGAAUAAGCACCGGCUAACUACGUGCCAGCAGCCGCAGUAA
rnacentral:rRNA from 1 species